rnacentral:lncRNA from 1 species
CACGUACGUAGGUGAAAAAGUAUACAUACACAUGUACGUAUUCAGGUGAAAAAGAAGAAGGUACAAGCAAAAGUGCUACGAGCAGCCGACUUACAGUUUCUGCGAGCUUGUGGUGAGAAGCUAGCUGAUCAAGAACUGCAAAGUUUUCCCUGUUUCUGUGAAGUUAGAACCUGGAGAUCAUUGAGAAGCAGAAAAAUUGGAGGUGGCAUCUGGCAAUGGUAGAAGAAAAUGGGGUUUAAUGCACGGGGUCGAGUCGCCAAGCAAUGUCAAAACCCCAUUUUCAUAUAUAGUGCAGCAGCCUCAACAUGAACAGGAAGGAGGGAUGUUUUUCAGCUUUCAUUACCAAUCACGAGACAAAACACGUGUCGUUCGCGAACUGCCUGACUCCUUAGAAUAUUGAAAGGUCACCAUUCAACCUUCUUUUUUACGACUAAAUUAUGACAAUAGUGCUGAUCGU